rnacentral:rRNA from 1 species
AACGAACGCUGGCGGCAUGCCUAACACAUGCAAGUCGAACGCCUGCAGCAAUGCAGGAGUGGCAGACGGGUGAGUAACACGUGGGAAUCUACCCAGUAGCUCGGAAUAACCGCGGGAAACUGCGGCUAAUACCGGAUAAGCCCCGAGGGGGAAAGGAGCAAUCCACUAUUGGAGGAGCCCGCGUCUGAUUAGCUAGUUGGUGGGGUAAUGGCCUACCAAGGCGAUGAUCAGUAGCUGGUUUGAGAGAACGACCAGCCACACUGGGACUGAGACACGGCCCAGACUCCUACGGGAGGCAGCAGUGGGGAAUAUUGGACAAUGGGGGAAACCCUGAUCCAGCAAUGCCGCGUGGGUGAUGGAGGCCUUCGGGUUGUAAAGCCCUUUUGUCGGGGACGAUGAUGACGGUACCCGACGAAUAAGCCCCGGCUAACUUCGUGCCAGCAGCCGCGGUAA